AUCAAGCUUGCUUGGUGGUGAGAGUGGCGAACGGGUGAGUAAUGCGUGACCGACCUGCCCCAUGCUCCGGAAUAGCUCCUGGAAACGGGUGGUAAUGCCGGAUGUUCCACAUGAUCGCAUGUGAUUGUGGGAAAGAUUCUAUCGGCGUGGGAUGGGGUCGCGUCCUAUCAGCUUGUUGGUGAGGUAAUGGCUCACCAAGGCUUCGACGGGUAGCCGGCCUGAGAGGGCGACCGGCCACAUUGGGACUGAGAUACGGCCCAGACUCCUACGGGAGGCAGCAGUGGGGAAUAUUGCACAAUGGGCGCAAGCCUGAUGCAGCGACGCCGCGUGAGGGAUGGAGGCCUUCGGGUUGUAAACCUCUUUUGUUUGGGAGCAAGCCUUCGGGUGAGUGUACCUUUCGAAUAAGCGCCGGCUAACUACGUGCCAGCAGCCGCGGUAAUACGUAGGGCGCAAGCGUUAUCCGGAUUUAUUGGGCGUAAAGGGCUCGUAGGCGGCUCGUCGCGUCCGGUGUGAAAGUCCAUCGCUUAACGGUGGAUCUGCGCCGGGUACGGGCGGGCUGGAGUGCGGUAGGGGAGACUGGAAUUCCCGGUGUAACGGUGGAAUGUGUAGAUAUCGGGAAGAACACCGAUGGCGAAGGCAGGUCUCUGGGCCGUCACUGA
rnacentral:rRNA from 1 species